rnacentral:piRNA from 1 species
UAGUAGGCCCUAGAAGAGGCUAAUGCUGUU